CCUUCUAUGUGUGUGACAUCAUACUGGGUUCAUAGGGAAAGGGUUAACUAAUUGUAAAAUGACUAACCAUUGGGAACCCAGGGGGCAGAGUUAACUGUGUAUAAGGUUUAAGCACAGACUUUUUUUUAGAGAGUUAGAGUUGUUGAGAAGACAGUCUGGAGUUAGAAGAGACAAAGAAGAUAAGUCUGUGGGUUGGGCUAGUCUGGUGUGAGAGAGGGAGAGAAUUUGUUAAGAGAGGUCAGUCAAGCAGUUGAGAUAAUCAGUCAGAAGAUUCUGCAGCUCCACCACCAAGGAAAAUCUUGUCAGUUCCCCCCACGGAUUGAAUUUUCUGUGGCAUAGCUUUGCCAUCCAAGCACAUCUUGUUCUCAAGACCUUCACAUUCUUCUAUUCCCUGCAUCUCAGCUUCCAUCUUUUUAUCCAUGGAAUUAAAUUAGCAGAUUUUGAGAUAAGGAGGGACCGGAUAAAUUAACCACUGUGUGGAGAAAAUGAAUAAUACUCUCUCGCAUAAUAGUAGAACGAUACUUA